AUGUCAAGAUGCACAUGGGCGUUGGUGGAUGAUGAGCUGGCGCAAACCCUAGCGACUAUCACUGAACCACAUGCUAAACAUUGGUUAUUCACUCUGAUUGACUCUCUAUCACAUGAGGCGUUUGUGAAGCUAGCAAUAACACUAUGGGCGAUUUGGGUGGCUCGAAGGAAAGCUAUACAUGAAGGUAUAUUUCAAAGUCCACAAGCUAUCCACGGAUUCAUAAAUAGAUAUCUGUCAGAGAAAGAACCACAGAAACAACAACAGCGCGCAACUUCGACAUCUACUACAACAAUCCAACGGCCAAAAGCUCCACCAUAGGGUCAUGCAAAAAUUCAUGUUGAUGCCGCAUGUCGGAAGGCACUGGGAGGAUCAGUUGCUACUGUUUGCUGGGACGAAACCGGUGCUUAUCUUGGGAGCUCGGCCCUCGUGAUAGCAGGGGUAGACGACCCGGAAAUUCUGGAAACGGUUGCAUGUCGGGAAGGUCUCGCUCUAGCCCAGGAUCUUAACAUCUCCAACGUUGUGGUUGCUUCAGACUCCAAAGGUGUAGUGCAAGCGAUUAACAGCAAAAGUCGGGGAAAUAGUGGUGCCAUUAUUUUUGAGAUACAUAGUAGAGUUUCUUUUUAAAAUUGUGUUUUUGCCUUCGAAGGUCGUGCCGUCAAUGUAGAGGCACAUAGAUUAGCAAAGCAUACUUUUUCGUCAGGUCCGGGGCGAUAUAUUUGGCUGGGCCAACCCCAUGACCAUAGAUGUAUUCCACUUAAUGUGGCUUUUCAUGAAUAA
rnacentral:rRNA from 1 species